rnacentral:rRNA from 1 species
AGAGUUUGAUCAUGGCUCAGAUUGAACGCUGGCGGCAGGCCUAACACAUGCAAGUCGAACGGUAACAGGAAGCAGCUUGCUGCUUCGCUGACGAGUGGCGGACGGGUGAGUAAUGUCUGGGGAUCUGCCUGAUGGAGGGGGAUAACUACUGGAAACGGUAGCUAAUACCGCAUAACGUCGCAAGACCAAAGAGGGGGACCUUCGGGCCUCUUGCCAUCAGAUGAACCCAGAUGGGAUUAGCUAGUAGGUGGGGUAACGGCUCACCUAGGCGACGAUCCCUAGCUGGUCUGAGAGGAUGACCAGCCACACUGGAACUGAGACACGGUCCAGACUCCUACGGGAGGCAGCAGUGGGGAAUAUUGCACAAUGGGCGCAAGCCUGAUGCAGCCAUGCCGCGUGUAUGAAGAAGGCCUUCGGGUUGUAAAGUACUUUCAGCGGGGAGGAAGGCGAUACGGUUAAUAACCGUGUCGAUUGACGUUACCCGCAGAAGAAGCACCGGCUAACUCCGUGCCAGCAGCCGCGGUAAUACGGAGGGUGCAAGCGUUAAUCGGAAUUACUGGGCGUAAAGCGCACGCAGGCGGUCUGUCAAGUCGGAUGUGAAAUCCCCGGGCUCAACCUGGGAACUGCAUCCGAAACUGGCAGGCUUGAGUCUUGUAGAGGGGGGUAGAAUUCCAGGUGUAGCGGUGAAAUGCGUAGAGAUCUGGAGGAAUACCGGUGGCGAAGGCGGCCCCCUGGACAAAGACUGACGCUCAAGUGCGAAAGC